AUCUAUCCCACCAUCUCUCUGUCUCUCUCUCUCUCUCUCUCUCUCUCUCUCUCUAUCUAUCCCACCAUCUCUCUGUCUCUCUCUCUCUCCAUUAUGGAUAGAUAGAUAGAGAGAGAGAGAGAGAGACAGACAGAGAGAUGGUGGGGGAGAUAGAUU
rnacentral:miRNA from 1 species